AAGCGAAGUGGGGCUAGAAAUGCCUGCUGGGUCACUGCAUCCCACCAUCCCCACUGCUGCUUCUACACAGGUAUUUUCUAAGUGCCUUCUCUAGGCCCUGGCAAAGAACACGACUAUCACAUUUGCCAGCAAGCUUUGAAGACCUUGCGUCUCCAAGAGGACUUAAGACUCCAGCGUCUUUGUUCCUAAUCUGUGGGUGGCAAUGUCAUGGGCAUGUGUGUUUGAACAGUGCUUCUGUGCCUCUGUGAGGUGGUGGGGCAGAGCCGGUCCUUGUUUACUAAAAGGGACCCGAGCCCCCACAGGGGUGGGAGGAUGGGUUAGGCUUAAAGAGCCAGGUGCAGUCUGGAAGAAGAAAGGAUUGGUGAGAACUUGCAUGGCCCUGCCACACCAGGAGCUUGGGUAAAAUCAUACUGGGAGGGAAACAAAACAAAAAAAGUCAA
rnacentral:lncRNA from 1 species